rnacentral:tRNA from 1 species
AAAGAAUUAGUUAAAUUAUAACAUUAGAAUGUCAAACUAAAAUUAUUAAAAAAUUAAUAUUCUUUA